UCCGGAGGGAGCUAUCGUUGUUCGGAAUUACUGGGCGUAAAGCGCGCGUAGGCGGCUUUUCAAGUCAGGGGUGAAAUCCCGGGGCUCAACCCCGGAACUGCCCUUGAAACUGGAUGGCUAGAAUACUGGAGAGGUGAGUGGAAUUCAGAGUGUAGAGGUGAAAUUCGUAGAUAUUCGGAAGAACACCAGUGGCGAAGGCGACUCACUGGACAGUUAUUGACGCUGAGGUGCGAAAGCGUGGGGAGCAAACAGG
rnacentral:rRNA from 1 species